rnacentral:rRNA from 1 species
GAUGAACGCUGGCGGCGUGCCUAAUACAUGCAAGUCGAACGGUCCGCAAGGAUAGUGGCGAACGGGUGAGUAACGCGUUGGUGACCUGCCCUGAAGUGGGGGAUAACAGAACGAAAGUUCUGCUAAUACCGCAUAAUCUCCGGAUAGUUAGAGAGUCUGGAGGAAAGCCGAAAGGCGCUAAAGGAGGGACCUGCGUCCCAUCAGCUAGUUGGUGAGGUAACGGCCCACCAAGGCGAUGACGGGUAGGGGACCUGAGAGGGUGACCCCCCACAAUGGAACUGAAACACGGUCCAUACACCUACGGGUGGCAG